rnacentral:rRNA from 1 species
GAUGAACGCUGGCGGCGUGCCUAAUACAUGCAAGUCGAGCGAACAGAUGAGGAGCUUGCUCCUCUGACGUUAGCGGCGGACGGGUGAGUAACACGUGGAUAACCUACCUAUAAGACUGGGAUAACUUCGGGAAACCGGAGCUAAUACCGGAUAAUAUAUUGAACCGCAUGGUUCAAUAGUGAAAGACGGUUUUGCUGUCACUUCUAGAUGGAUCCGCGCCGCAUUAGCUAGUUGGUAAGGUAACGGCUUACCAAGGCAACGAUGCGUAGCCGACCUGAGAGGGUGAUCGGCCACACUGGAACUGAGACACGGUCCAGACUCCUACGGGAGGCAGCAGUAGGGAAUCUUCCGCAAUGGGCGAAAGCCUGGCGGAGCAACGCCGCGUGAGUGAUGAAGGUCUUCGGAUCGUAAAACUCUGUUAUUAGGGAAGAACAAAUGUGUAAGUAACUAUGCACGUCUUGACGGUACCUAAUCAGAAAGCCACGGCUAACUACGUG